rnacentral:lncRNA from 1 species
UACACACAGGACCACCACCACAGCCUGUCUACCACUACAAACCACUAUCAGCCUGUCUACCACUACAACCCACUAUCAGCCUGUCUACCACUACAACCCACUAUCAGCCUGUCUACCACUACAACCCACUAUCAGCCUGUCUACCACUACAACCCACUAUCAGCCUGUCUACCACUACAACCCACUAUCAGCCUGUCUACCACUACAACCCACUAUCAGCCUGUCUACCACUACAACCCACUAUCAGCCUGUCUACCACUACAACCCACUAUCAGCCUGUCUACCACUACAACCCACUAUCAGCCUGUCUACCACUACAACCCACUAUCAGCCUGUCUACCACUACAACCCACUAUCAGCCUGUCUACCACUACAACCCACUAUCAGCCUGUCUACCACUACAACCCACUAUCAGCCUGUCUACCACUACAACCCACUAUCAGCCUGUCUAUCACUACAACCCACUAUCAGCCUGUCUACCACUACAACCCACUAUCAGCCUGUCUACCACUACAACCCAGUAUCAGCCUGUCUACCACUACAACCCACUAUCAGCCUGUCUACCACUACAACCCACUAUCACCUGUCUACCACUACAACCCACUAUUAGCCUGUCUACCACUACAACCCACUAUCAGCCUGUCUACCACUACAACCCACUAUCACCUGUCUACCACUACAACCCACUAUCAGCCUGUCUACCACUACAACCCACUAUUAGCCUGUCUACCACUACAACCCACUAUCAGCCUUUCUACCACUACAACCCACUAUCAGCCUGUCUACCACUACAACCCAAUAUCAGUCUGUCUACCACUACAACCCACUAUCACCUGUCUACCACUACAACCCACUAUUAGCCUGUCUACCACUAAAACCCACUAUCAGCCUGUCUACCACUACAACCCAGUAUCAGCCUGUCUACCGCUACAACCCACUAUCAGCCUGUCUACCACUACAACCCAAUAUCAGUCUGUCUACCACUAUAACCCACUAUCACCUGUCUACCACUACAACCCACUAUUAGCCUGUCUACCACUACAACCCACUAUCAGCCUGUCUACCACUACAACCCAGUAUCAGCCUGUCUACUGCUACAACCCACAAUCAGCCUGUCUACCACUACAACCCAAUAUCAGUCUGUCUACCACUACAACCCACUAUCACCUGUCUACCACUACAACCCACUAUUAG